AACGGCCGUAAUUGUAUUUUAUACGAAAAUAUCUCAAUUCGGAUUCCAAGAAGAUCCAUUUGUUCGUUUAUGCCCCAUGUUAUAAAAAAUAUAAAAAACAGACGAGUAAAAAACCGACUCUCGAUUUAUAGCAUCUUCUGUAAGAAUACUAAACAGUUUGAUACACGAUAAUAAAAGUUAUCUAUUGCAUUACAGCACAUCAUCCAAAAAGUCUAAAAAAUCAAGGGAACCGUCGUUGUCACCACCACCAAAGAAAUCUCGAUACAGCGAUCGCAGAAGUCGAUCCCGUUCGAGAUCACGUGAUAGGGAAAGAGACCGCGAUAGAUCUCGGGAGCGCGACCGGGAACGAGAUAGAGAGAGGGAGAAAGAGCGUGAACGCGAACGCGAGAGAGAAAGAGAGAGGCGAAGACGCUCGCCCGCCACGCCUCCAGCACACCACCACCGGAAGCACAGCAAACACGCCAAAUACAAGUACUAAUAUUUAAUGGUAGAUGGCGUUAAUACGAAUUAAGAAUAUCGCUUUUGUAAGAUAAAAUAUAUCGAAAAUUAUAUCAGAA